GGGGGCAUAGCUUAAGUGGUAGAGCACCUGCUUAACAAGCAGAAGGCCCUGAGUUCAAACCUCAGUACUGCCA